UCGAACGGAAAGGCCUCAGCUUGCUGGGGUACUCGAGUGGCGAACGGGUGAGUAACACGUGGGUGAUCUGCCCUGCACUUUGGGAUAAGCUUGGGAAACUGGGUCUAAUACCGAAUAUGACCACUUCUUGGAUGUUGUGGUGGAAAGCUUUUGCGGUGUGGGAUGAGCCUGCGGCCUAUCAGCUUGUUGGUGGGGUAAUGGCCUACCAAGGCGGCGACGGGUAUCCGGCCUGAGAGGGUGUACGGACACAUUGGGACUGAGAUACGGCCCAGACUCCUACGGGAGGCAGCAGUGGGGAAUAUUGCACAAUGGGCGCAAGCCUGAUGCAGCGACGCCGCGUGGGGGAUGAAGGCCUUCGGGUUGUAAACUCCUUUCGCUAUCGACGAAGCCACUUGUGGUGACGGUAGGUAGAUAAGAAGCACCGGCUAACUACGUGCCAGCAGCCGCGGUAAUACGUAGGGUGCAAGCGUUGUCCGGAAUUACUGGGCGUAAAGAGCUCGUAGGUGGUUUGUCGCGUCGUCUGUGAAAUCCCGGGGCUUAACUUCGGGCGUGCAGGCGAUACGGGCAUAACUUGAGUGCUGUAGGGGAGACUGGAAUUCCUGGUGUAGCGGUGAAAUGCGCAGAUAUCAGGAGGAACACCGAUGGCGAAGGCAGGUCUCUGGGCAGUAACUGACGCUGAGGAGCGAAAGCAUGGGUAGCGAACAGGAUUAGAUACCCUGGUAGUCCAUGCCGUACACGGUGGGCGCUAGGUGUAGGGGGCUUCCACGUC
rnacentral:rRNA from 1 species